CAACUUCAGAUGUAUUGCCAAUCAAUUAUGAUGGAUUAGCAAAGGCAGUAAAGAAAGGAGACACCAUCUUUCUAGGUCAAUACCUGUUCACAGGAAGUGAAACUACAUCAGUUUGGCUUGAGAUAUGUACUUUACCUGGA